rnacentral:rRNA from 1 species
UACGUAGGGGGCAAGCGUUGUCCGGAUUUAUUGGGCGUAAAGAGCGUGUAGGCGGCUUGGUAGGUCCGCUGUGAAAACUCGAGGCUCAACCUCGAGAUGUUGGCGGAAACCACUUGGCUAGAGUCCGGAAGAGGAGAGUGGAAUUCCUGGUGUAGCGGUGAAAUGCGCAGAUAUCAGGAAGAACACCUAUGGCGAAGGCAGCUCUCUGGGACGGUACUGACGCUGAGACGCGAAAGCGUGGGGAGCGAACAGG